AUUUUACAGUUUACACAAAAUGAUCUCUGGUAAUUAUACAGCAGAGGGGAUAUAUAACUAGAUGUACUUUCACAUUGCAAAAUGGAUUUCCAGAGCCCUGGGUGAGAAAAACGUGUGUCCCUCCGCCCCCUUGGGUUCCUUCCUUUUUAUAAGCAUUAAAGUCAGUUCUUAGCAUGCCCUAUAGACUAAUCUGGUCUUCAUUCUCAGUGUCAAUAGGCCUCCUUAGACAAC